AACGAACGCUGGCGGCAGGCCUAACACAUGCAAGUCGAGCGGACCCUUCGGGGUUAGCGGCGGACGGGUGAGUAACGCGUGGGAAUAUGCCCUUCUCUACGGAAUAGUCCUGGGAAACUGGGGGUAAUACCGUAUACGCCCUUUGGGGGAAAGAUUUAUCGGGGAAGGAUUAGCCCGCGUUGGAUUAGGUAGUUGGUGGGGUAAUGGCCUACCAAGCCGACGAUCCAUAGCUGGUUUGAGAGGAUGAUCAGCCACACUGGGACUGAGACACGGCCCAGACUCCUACGGGAGGGAGGAGUUGGGGAUCUUAGAAAAUGGGGGCAACCCUGAUCUAGCCAUGCCGCGUGAGUGAUGAAGGCCUUAGGGUUGUAAAGCUCUUUCAGCUGGGAAGAUAAUGACGGUACCAGCAGAAGAAGCCCCGGCUAACUCCGUG
rnacentral:rRNA from 1 species